CAGGGAGACAACAAAAUGUAAAUAUUAAUUUUGUCACCUUAGGUCGAUCGGUAUCUCAGAUUCUUUUUAAGAAUUUCAGUUUCUAAGUUUUUUCUAGGUCACACCCAUCACUUUUUCCUGGGCCAUUAGCUCAGGUGGUUAGAGCGCACCCCUGAUAAGGGUGAGGUCCCUGGUUCAAGUCCAGGAUGGCCCAUAUCUCUAUGUUGGGGGUAUAGCUCAGUUGGUAGAGCGCCUGCUUUGCAAGCAGGAUGUCAGCGGUUCGAGUCCGCUUACCUCCACUGAAUACCACCUCUUACAUAUAUUCAAAGAGGGAAAUUGUUUUGAGUCGUGUCCUAUUUUGCUCUGAGCGAAUCUAGCUUCCUAUUUUAUUUAAUAAAUAAGAUGCUGGACUCAUUGAAUUUUUUUCAUUGUUUUCAGAGAACCUUGACAACUGCAUAGAUUAUUUUUGAAGACAAUAAGCAUCUUUAAUGAUGCAGAUUUAUUAUUUGUGCUAAUGCAUUAAAUAACAAUUCUAUUAAGCUGAUGCUUCAAUUAUUGAAGUUAUU
rnacentral:tRNA from 1 species